rnacentral:lncRNA from 1 species
UAUUGAAAACAAUGCCAAGAUACUUUGGCUUUGGAUAUGAAGCAAUCAGUUGCUUUCCGGUAUGGGUUAAGUUACGGCACGUCUCUAUGGAUUUGUGGCAUCCGAAUGUAUUUGGGAAAAUCUGCUCAAUGUUAGGCAAACCAAUCCAUAUGGACAAGUUAACUUCCCAAAAAGCAAGAAUGACCUAUGCCAGAUGUUUAGUGGAAAUAGACUUAGCCAAGGAUCUUGCCCAUUCGGUUACUUUGGAGCUGCCGGGCAGGGUAGAACAUGAGCAAGCUGUAUUAUAUGAGAAUCUCCCUAGAUUUUGUCCUCACUACAGAAUGAUGGGGCACACAAAGGAAAGCUGCAAAAUGAUGAAGGCAAACACCAAGGAGAAUAAAAGUGCUAAGCCUGCAGGAAAAGACUCUGGAAAGGGGAAGGAACCAGAGGCAAUAGAGCCAGAAAUGGGAGGAGAAAAGACUGAUACUUCAGGGGCAAGAACAAGCAAAGCAAGUCAGAUGGAAUGGGUUACAAAGAAAUCAAAAGCAGGCAGGGCUCAAGCGAAUAGACAAGAAGUCAAGGCCAAAACAGGUAGCACAGAGGUGAGUAAAGUCUUGGAAGCAAAAAUAGGAAACAAAUUUAGUCCCUUAGAAGUUAUUCCAGAGACAGAGGAGAUUGAGGUGAACCAAGACCAGGCAGAGCUAGAACCAGGGGCAGAGGACUAGGCUGAUCCAGAACCAGAGGUUGAGGUCCAGAUCCAAGCUGAAGGGCCAAGCACAGUACAAGCUCCAAACAGGACUAUAGGGACAAGCACUGAGCAACCCCCAAAAAAGCGGGUGGGGGAAGCUAUAUAUCUCCAGCAGGCCAACCAAUUUGCUAGUGCAUAGUUAAGAAACAAGUUGCAGCACACAAAAGGAAGUUCAGCAGCAGUAGCUCCUAAAAAAGUUCCAACUCAAAUAGUAAAGAGGCAACUUAUUAUUAAGCCUCCAAAAAAAGCCCCCAAUUCAGUUCUUACCCCUCCCAUUGCUAAGGAGGAGGAUGGAAAGAAAAAAGGGUCAAAAAGAAUCAGGAGAAGAAGGGGAAGUCAACAACUUUUGUUGACUUUUGUGCAGAAAUGGAGGGUGACUCCCCCAUACCAAACAAGCAAUGAUCAUUUCCUUCUAGAAUAUAAGAGGCUUGAACAAACCUCUCAAACAGAAUGGAAUUUUGAAACAUAUGAGGAAGAAUAAAGUGUGCAUCAUGGGAGUCCUGGAAACUAAACUCUCUCAGCACUAUCUUGAUGGAAUUUCUAGGAAGAAAUUCAAAUCCUGGAAAGCAGACAAUAACUUUCAACAUCACCCAAAUGGAAGGAUUUUGAUUUUUUGGAAGGACGACAAAGUCAGCCUAGAGAUCAUCAAGAAGUCAGACCAGGUGAUUUACUGCCUGGUCACUUGUAAAACUUCUUCAAUUAAAUUUCAUUUAAGCUUUGUUUAUGCUUUCAAUACUGUUGUGGGUCGAAGACCCCUUUGGGAUAGCCUUCGCAGGUUUAGCUCCUCUAUUAAAGUGCCUUGGAUGCUGUUGGGUGACUUUAACAAUGUUCUCAGCAAUGAUGAGAAAGCUAAUGGGCUCCCAGUUACCUCUUAUGAGACAAGGGAUUUUAGGAAUUGUUGUUAUGAUACAGGUAUUUCUGAUAUGAGAUCCUCAGGAGUCUUUCUCACAUGGUCCAAUAACUCUAUCUAGAGUAAACUUGAUAGAGCUAUAGUCAACAAAAAGUGGGUUCAUGAAGGCUUUACAGACCAAGCAAGUUUUGAUUUCCCUGGAAAGUACUCAGACCAUUCCCCAUGCACUGUCACCCUUUUUGAAGUGAAUGAGCGAGGAGUCUCCCCAUUUAAAUUCUUCAACAUGUGGGCUAAUCAUGAUAAGUUUCUGGAGAUAGUCAGCAAUUCUUGGGGAAUGCAGCUGAGAGGAACAACCAUGUAUAAGCUGUGCAGCAAGCUUAAAUCUGCUAAAGAUCCUCUGAGGGACUUAAACAAGAAGCACUUCUGCCAUAUAGCAGCCAGAACAGAGGCUACAGAAGAGGAUCUCAUUCAGGCUCAGCAGCAAUUGCAUGACAGCCGAAGGGACUAUAAUCUUCAAAUCAAAGUCCCGAAGCUGAGAGCUAAAGUCCUUAAGUUAGCAGAAGUAGAGCUAAGUUUUUGCACCCAGCUAACAAAAGCCAAGUUUUUUAAGAACGCUGAUAAAGGUACAAAUUUUUUUCAUGACUUGAUCAAAAGCAACAGAUCCAAAAGCCAUAUUACCUCUAUUUUGUUGGAAGAUGGGAGCAGAACUACUUCGAGCAACCAAGUGAGUGAGGCCUUUGUUCAGUAUUAUAAAGGGCUCCUGGGAUCCAAAGAAAAUUGCUCCAGUCUUAACAGAGAAAUAGUCUUAAAGGGCAAGCUUUUGGGGGUAGAGCAAGCUGAUAGUCUGUUAAGGAAGGUUACUGACGAGGAAAUAAAAUCUGCCCUAUUUGAUAUUGGAGAAGAAAAAGGCCCAGGGGCCAGAU